GAGCUGUCAGUACGGAGCCCAAUGCCGGCCCGAACUGACAGACUGCAAGAUUGUGUGCUGAGCCAAGUCAGACGGUUAACCAACGGAGCCACCCAGGCGCCCCUGAUGUACUUUCUUCACGGAGAUGAAAGUUUCUCGCCUAUAUAGCUUUUUAUUUCUGCCUGAAAUUUUUCUUUUAACAUUUCUCACAGGGUAGGUCUGCUGGCAAACAAACUCCUUGCUUUUGUUUGAGAAAAUACAUUUCAUCUUCACUUUUGAGGAAUAAUUUCACUAUAUGUGGAAUUCCAGUUUUCCUGUACUUUUAAUGCUCAACCUACAGAACACACCAUAACCUGACUUAUUAAAUCCCCAUAUAUGUGGCUCAUAAGACCUGCCUUUAGUCACUAUUGGUUUCUUCUUCACAGUUGGUGCCUGAAAAGUAGAAUGUUCUCUCCACCUCCGAAGCUGAAAAUUAAUGAACUUCCACAUCAUGAAUGCUUGGGUGAUGCAAAUGGAUGCCAGGACGGCAAUUCUUACAGCUGACACAUUGAAGUUCCCAGCACUGAAAUCCAGUUUCUGAUUUUCUGCUCUUGCAAGCCCAAAGCCAACAGGAGGGUAACAUUGUACUGAAGAGUAACACAAAUGAUAGAGGCUUUUGCUGUUAUCUUGAACAUGAGCCCCAGCAGGAAGACCAUCGCCACACAGGAGACUAUGUCCGCGUGAUUCUGCAGGAUGAAUUCGUGGCUCAGGACCGGGGGGUUCUUGGUGCUCUUCUUGCGAAUCGCCAUGGUGAAGCCACCGCCCGUGCCUGCAGGGCCUGCAGGUGCUUCCUGGCUCGCUCUUUCCAGCUGCUCACCGACCAGCUGCCGCCGCGCCUCCCCCUGGCUGCUCCUCACAGCCCCGCCGCUGCCACUCGCUGGGGCUUCACUUCCCAUCCCACAGCCAGUACGCAGCCGCCAGGGCCGCCUGAAAAAAAACAAAUAAAAAUCUUCUGUCCCUUUUCAAUAAAUGUGUUUUAAAGUCA